UACGAACCGUGCGAACGUUGUUCGGAAUCACUGGGCUUAAAGGGCGCGUAGGCGGGCUGUCAAGUCUGGGGUGAAAUCCCGCGGCUCAACCGUGGAACUGCCUUAGAUACUGGCGGCCUCGAGGAAGGUAGGGGCAUGCGGAACUGUAGGUGGAGCGGUGAAAUGCGUAGAGAUCGGAAAGAACACCAACGGCGAAAGCACUCUGCUGGGCCGACACUGACACUGAGAGACGAAAGCUAGGGGAGCGAAUGGG
rnacentral:rRNA from 1 species